AACCAACCCAUAACAGGGGGAUAACCCGGAGAAAUCCGGACUAAUACCGCAUAAGACCACGAUAUCGCAUGAUAUAGAGGUCAAAUAUUUAUAGGUUAUGGACGGGCAUGCGUCUGAUUAGCUGGUGGCGGGUAACGCCACCAAGGCAUCGAUCAGUAGGGGUUCUGAGAGGAAGGUCCCCCACAUUGGAACUGAGACACGGUCCAAACUCCUACGGGAGGCAGCAGUGAGGAAUAUUGGUCAAUGGGCGAAAGCCUGAACCAGCCAUGUCGCGUGAAGGAAUGAAGGUCCUAUGGAUUGUAAACUUCUUUUGCAGGAGGGUAAAGUGAGCUACGUGUAGUUCAUUGCAAGUACCCUGCGAAUAAGCAUCGGCUAACUCCGUGCCAGCCGCAGC
rnacentral:rRNA from 1 species